AGCGAACGCUGGCGGCAGGCUUAACACAUGCAAGUCGAACGGGCGUAGCAAUACGUCAGUGGCAGACGGGUGAGUAACGCGUGGGAACGUACCUUUUGGUUCGGAACAACCCAGGGAAACUUGGGCUAAUACCGGGAUAAGCCCUUACGGGGAAAGAUUUAUCGCCGAAAGAUCGGCCCGCGUCUGAUUAGCUAGUUGGUGAGGUAACGGCUCACCAAGGCAACGAUCAGUAGCUGGUCUGAGAGGAUGAUCAGCCACAUUGGGACUGAGACACGGCCCAAACUCCUACGGGAGGCAGCAGUGGGGAAUAUUGGACAAUGGGCGCAAGCCUGAUCCAGCCAUGCCGCGUGAGUGAUGAAGGCCCUAGGGUUGUAAAGCUCUUUUGUGCGGGAAGAUAAUGACGGUACCGCAAGAAUAAGCCCCGGCUAACUUCGUGCCAGCAGCCGCGGUAAC
rnacentral:rRNA from 1 species